rnacentral:rRNA from 1 species
GACGAACGCUGGCGGCGUGCCUAACACAUGCAAGUCGAACGCUUCUUUCGUCCCGAGUGCUUCCCCUCUAUUGGAAAGAGGGGUGCCGGCCGGUUGAGUAACACUUGGGUAACCUACCCAUCAGUGAGGGAUAAUACUUGGAAACAGGCGCUAAUACCUCACAACAGUUUAUGCCGGAUGUCAUAUGAGUGGAUGGCGCUUUCGGGUGCUGCCGAUGGAUGGACCCGCGGUUCAUUAGCUAGUUGGAGAGGCAACGGUGCACCAAGGCCACGAGGCAUACCGGACCCGAGAGGGUGGUCGGCCACACUGGGACUGAGACACGGCCCCGACUCCUCCGGGAGGAAGCAGUAGGGAAUCUUAGGCAAUGGAGGAAAGUCUAACCGAGCAAAGCCGCGUGAGUGAAGAAGGUUCUCGGAUCGUAAAGCUCUGUUGUUAGAGAAGAAGAAGGGCGUUAGUAACUGAGCGUACACUGACGGUAUCUAAAGAGAAAGCCACGGCUAACUACGUG